UACGUAGGGUGCAAGCGUUGUCCGGAAUUAUUGGGCGUAAAGAGCUCGUAGGCGGUCUGUCGCGUCUGCUGUGAAAACUCGGGGCUUAACCCCGGGCCUGCAGUGGGUACGGGCAGACUAGAGUGCGGUAGGGGAGACUGGAAUUCCUGGUGUAGCGGUGAAAUGCGCAGAUAUCAGGAGGAACACCGGUGGCGAAGGCGGCAUUCUGGACCGACAUUGACGCUGAGGAGCGAAAGCCAGGGGAGCAAACGGG
rnacentral:rRNA from 1 species